CCUACGGGUGGCAGCAGUGGGGAAUAUUGGACAAUGGGCGAAAGCCUGAUCCAGUCAUGCCGCGUGUGUGAAGAAGGCCUUCGGGUUGUAAAGCACUUUCAGUGGGGAAGAAAGCCUUGGGGCUAAUACCCUCGAGGAAGGACAUCACCCACAGAAGAAGCACCGGCUAACUCCGUGCCAGCAGCCGCGGUAAUACGGAGGGUGCGAGCGUUAAUCGGAAUUACUGGGCGUAAAGCGCGCGUAGGCGGUCUGAUAAGCCGGUUGUGAAAGCCCCGGGCUCAACCUGGGAACGGCAUCCGGAACUGUCAGGCUAGAGUGCAGGAGAGGAAGGUAGAAUUCCCGGUGUAGCGGUGAAAUGCGUAGAGAUCGGGAGGAAUACCAGUGGCGAAGGCGGCCUUCUGGACUGACACUGACGCUGAGGUGCGAAAGCGUGGGUAGCAAACAGGAUUAGAUACCCCUGUAGUC
rnacentral:rRNA from 1 species